rnacentral:sRNA from 1 species
GUGAGGGGGUGACUAGUGACAGAGUGAGGGAAGGGGUGACUAGUGGCAGAGUAAGGGAAGGAAGGGGUGACUAGUGACAGAGUGAGGGAGGUUGUGACUGUCACUAGUCACCACCUCCCUCACUAUGUCACUAGUCACCACCUCCCUCUGUCACUACUCCCUCCCUCCUUCUGUCACUAGUCACCCCCUCCGUCCCUUACUCUGUCACUAGUCACCCCCUAACUCACUCUGUCACUAGUCAUCCCCCUUUCAC